UUUCUGAUUUGGCUUCCAAACAAUUUUUUGCACUUAUCAUUUAAUGGAUUUGUAUAACGAUAAGAGAGGCAAGUUUUAGCCCUCAGAUUCAAAUAUAAACUCCUUAACUCAUCAUCAAUAUAAUAUAUCAGUUUCCUUCUCAUUCUUAAACACUUUUGACAUAUUUCCCUUUUUAACUCUCUCUCUCUGUUUUUCUAUUUCAACUUUUUUUUUCUGCCCUUUUGAUGUGGACCCAUUUCUAAUCAAACAAAUCUGCAUUUUGGGUUAUCUUCAACUUGGUCAAGUAGUUUCUUGAUGGACCUUGCCCCUUUUGCCUCCUCUGCUGCCCCCCCAACUUCUUUUGUUUCAACCUGCCAAAUGUUUGAUGAAAUGCCACACCCAAAGGAAAACCAAACCAUCCACUCUAAUACCAAUUCCCAACUAUUUUGCUAUGAGCUACCUGAAGCUAUAUAUUACAACAGGUUGGUUUUUUAGAUGAGGUUGUCUCAUAAUAAUCAUUGAAUGUAGAUCAGCGUGACGGCGCCCUUAAAUAAUUACCCUUACACAGUACAAGUGGUGUUUAUGUGUGGUACGAGUAAGGUAAUUUCAAACUGCCAGUAAAAAAAAUAUGUAAGUCAUGGCUAGCUUCAUAAACCGGCACCAAAUAACUCAAUUCACUAAUAAGUAUUCUUUAAAUAUGUACAUUUUGUUGGAGAAUUCAUCUUCCUGACUUUGAUUUAUUAACUCCAAACUUCAUAACUCAGUUUACACAAAACAUGUCUUUAAGAAUGUGCUAUCUUGAAUUUUGUUUUUGUAAAUUU